rnacentral:rRNA from 1 species
UAAUACGUAGGGUGCAAGCGUUAAUCGGAAUUACUGGGCGUAAAGCGUGCGCAGGCGGUUUUGUAAGACAGGUGUGAAAUCCCCGGGCUUAACCUGGGAACUGCAUUUGUGACUGCAAGGCUGGAGUGCGGCAGAGGGGGAUGGAAUUCCGCGUGUAGCAGUGAAAUGCGUAGAUAUGCGGAGGAACACCGAUGGCGAAGGCAAUCCCCUGGGCCUGCACUGACGCUCAUGCACGAAAGCGUGGGGAGCAAACAGG